GGCUCAGUGGUCUAGGGGUAUGGUUCUCGCUUUGGGUGCGAGAGGUCCCGGGUUCAUAUCCCGGCUGAGCCC
rfam:Hymenolepis nana genome assembly, scaffold: HNAJ_scaffold0002317